rnacentral:lncRNA from 1 species
CGUCAUCAAGAUUUACCGUUCCAUAACAUGUUGGUGAAGGUCAUCUGACUACAACAAAGAUGCAUAAAACUCUGCCCAGAAAUGUUAUUAUUGCUUGAAAUAUUAAAGAUAAUGCAAUUUCCGCCAUUUUAUUAAGGUCAAAAACAUUCUACCCUUCCCUGGAUGAUUACCAGUCCUACAUCCUCUUUGGCCAAUAAAAAUAUGUAACCGCAUGCUUCCCCAUUUUGUGUUUUUGAAAUCACAUGACUGUCAUGUGAUAUGGUUUUACAUUUAAGCGGGAAUCACAGUAGAACAAAUGAUCGUCGCUUAUAUGAUUUUCUAUGGUUUAUCGAUUUUUUUUCAUUUAAUAUAUGAGGUAAACAUUGAUAAAUGUAUUGUUGUCAUUAGUGUUUUAUGAAUGCAA